GUAACGGUCAACUUCCACCGGACGCGACGGACAAGGAGGAAAAGGUCCUGGCUGCCACCAGUUGAGUCAAUGAUUCGGAGAAGAGACAGUCUGGGCAGCAGCAACAAGACAACUAUUACAAGUUGAGAUGGGUUUUAAGAACUGGUACUACUUUGAUUCCUGACUUGUUCGACACAACCACAGAUCAUCCAAAUCAUCUCCAAGUGGAUGGCAGCAAGGAUCAGGAUCA